AGGUACCUGUGGAUAAAGUGGUUUUCCUCCAGAUACUGGCAUCCAUUGGCGAUAUCACGAGCCACGUUAAGUAGGUCCAGCAUAGUGAGGGAAGACGGCUGAUUCUAUACAGAAAAGGUCACACUGAGCCACAGAUGUCAGUGCGGAGAAUACAGAAGGUCUUGGUCGUGUCUGUCUGAGAAAAGACUUCAGAUCUCCACCAGCCAUAAGUUCCAGCAGAAUAAAGCGUGGCAGGGCCUGCAGGCUCACUCCGAUGCAUCGCACUAUAUUUUGAUGGUUGAAUUUACUGUGGGA